UAUAUUACCACUUGCACUGAUUUGCACUGUAUAUGAUCGGUGACAGAGUAAUAUCCAGAGAUUCGUGGAAUUCAUUGUUUUCUGCAAAUGUUAACUGAGUAAUCAGAGUGAGAAAAAAUUACAACUGUUAGCCAUCAGAUACAUAAUUCUACAAGCAGGUAGAGCUUUGGUGAGAUCUAUGCAAGUUAUCACCUGUCCACUCUUUUGACACUACACAAAAUACAAAGGCUAUGAAACAUAAGAAAAAUAUAAACAUAAACAACUAUAAAUUAGGGCUCAGAUUGAAAGGAGCAGUUGCUAAGCCUUUCCUGUCCAAAACUAGUUUUCACCUUUGGCAACAAAAGAGUUUCAGCAUAAUGUAACUUUAUAUGAAUUCUUGGAAGUUGAUUCAUAAAUGAAUCCCGUUUCAAAAAUGUCAGUCUUGUAGGUUUGUUUGAGUAGGGAGAAACACUAAAUAAUUUUUACAAAUGUUCAUCUUCAGCACACGUCUGACUGUAUUGUUAUGGAAAUAUCACUUUAGUAUAGUGACAGAUUUAUUUCAUUAGUAGAACAUGGGCAUUCUGUUGGUUAUAAAAGGUGGUUUUAGGUAUGGUAUCUUAAUUCCACUCUGCCAAACUGUAUUAUUUAAUAACUUUUAUUCGAGAACAUCUAUUUUACAUAGGUGUACAUACAUACUGGAAUUUCCACUGAUUUGUUGUCAUGUUUAUUUAAGUGUGCAAGGAACAUAUACUUUGACUUACUUGUUUAAUAUAUAAUGGAGAUUAUUCAUUGAAUUACCACUAAUACUGUGACACCAUGUUUUGUGGAGACAUUUCAUUAUUAUUAAUAUUUUUCUUCUGUCUGCUAAUUUCAUGUUUUUAAGUGGUAGAGCGGGAGUUUUCUCUUUCAUAAGAAGUCUAUUCAGACAGACCCUGCACAAAGAGAAUAAUCUAGGUAAAAUCAAAUGCCUUUUACAAAAGCUAGAGCACACACUGUGAGAAGCGAUACUCGUUUGUUUCCCUAGGUCUUCUGUUACGUCACUGGCAUGUAGUAAGUGUUGUUGAGCAUUUUCAUAAGGCAGGUGUUGUCAGAGACAAGUACAGUAGCUUGUGAAAGGAGGUAAGGUCCAGACAAUACUGAAUUUGUAAUAACUUCUUAAUACUUGUCAAAUCAAAUGUUUUUGGCAGAACAGUUACACAUUAAACAAGGGACGUUUCUGAGCAGUUUUCACAUUUCCCAGAACAAAAUGAGCUGUGCAAUUAAAAAAUACAAAUAUCCAUCCAUUCAUUUUCUAAAUCCAUUUAGCGUUUAGGGUUCUGUGGCCACAGUCAAUCCUCUAUAAGUGGGCACAAGGCAGGGACCAUCCAGUCCAUCCCAUGGUGCACUCACACAUAGCCACACAAACUAAUACCGACCAGGUGACAUUUGGAAGGUGAUACGAAACUGGAGUAUCAACAGAAAACCCACACAGACAUGGUGAAAACAUGCAAAUUCCACACAGACUGCACCCAGGAGGGAAUUUGAACCUGGGACUCUAGAGCUGUGAAGCUGCAGCACUAAGCACUGCACCACAUGGCUGCCACAGGUAGGUGAUAUUCACUGUAAUGCAUAGUUAUUUACUAUUCUUUCUUUUAAAGCCAUUUACAGUAUUUGUUACUGUUUGAGCAGCAAUUAUGUUCUUCCCCCUGUCUGUGUGGCUUUUCUUCCCUCAUCCCAAACACCACCUGCAUGUUAGGUUAAUUGUUGACCCUAAAAUGGCCCCAUAUGAUCAGUGUUGCCUGUGUCUCGAAUUGACAUUUGGAGGCAGAGCACUAGAAAGCACUCAAAAAGUUAGGCUGCAGAUAAAUGUUGCAAGUUGUAUAAAUGUAGACAUUUUUGUUACCUACAGUGGCAUGCAAAAGUAUUCAGUCCCCUAGAAAGUCAUCAUAAUUUUCUGCAUAACAAAAGAUUUGUACACAUAUUUAUCCAUUCAGUAUUUUUAAUGUGAACUCUUAUGCUGUAACAAUACAUAUCCAAAGCGAAAAUAAACCAUUUUCUGUAGAUAUUUAAGACGAAAAACUCAAUAGUCAGUGUUUGCAUAAGUAUUCAAGCCCUACACAUUAAUACUUUGUUGAGAAUCCUCUUGCUGCAGUAACAGCCUUAAUUAAGUAUGUACCAGUUUUACACAUUGUUCAGGAGCGACUCUUCCGCAUUCUUCUUUGCAGAAUUUAUGGAGAUCCUCUAAGUUGGUGGGAUGGUGACCCACAGACAGCACUUUUCAAAUAGUGCCACAGAUCAGGGCUUUGACUUGGCCAUUCCAAAAUGUUCACUUCUCUGUUUUUGAGCCAUUCCAGUGUCAUGUUUGGCCUUAUGCUUAGGGUCACUGUCAUGCUGAAAGAUGAAUCUUCUCCUGUAUCCAUCCAUUGUCCCUUCAACUCUGACAUGUUUCCCAGUCCCAGCAAAUGAAAAGCAUCCCCAUAGCAUGAUGCUGCCACCACAAUGUUUCACCGUAGGUAUGGUGUUUCUUGAUGCAUGGACGGUGUUAGCUUUAUGCCCCACAUACCUCUUUGAAAUCUGGCUGAAAGGUUCUAUUUUGGGCUCAUCUGACCAUAAAACCUUAUCCCAAAUCUUAACUCGGUCUUUCUCAUGCUUUGUAGCAGAUGCUCACGUGCUUUUAUGUGGAGCUUCUUAAGGGAUGGCUUCUUUAUUGCUGUUUUGUGGAGAGCUCUUGAAAUUGUGGACCCAUCCACCUUCACUCCAUUGUCAGCCAAAGAGCAUUGCAGAUGUCUGAGAGUGAUGGCUGGAUUUUCAGUAGCCUCUAUCGCCAGUCAACGUCUUGCUCUGAUGUUUAGUUUUGAGCGAUGGCCAGUUCUAGUAAGAGUCUGGGUGCUGUGAUGGACCGUCCACUUUCUGAUGAUGGAUCCGAUAGUGCUUAACGGGACAUUCAAACCCUUCAAUAUUUUUUGUAGCCAUUUCCUUCCUUGUACAUUUCAAUGACUUUGUUUCUCACAUCAGCAGAAUGUUCCUUUGACUUCAUUUUUGCAAUGAUUGGCCAACAAAGACUUACAAAGGGUGCUUUUUAUAUCCAGAGAGAUCUAAAGAACUACUAGCAAGUAGUACCUAAUUAUGAUUAAUUAUGGUCAAAUGAAUGACACCUUUGUGUUGUCAUUAAUUUGUUGUUUGUGUAAACCUGGAGCUUCCAAAGCACAGAGGUAUUAAAUACUUAUGCAAACGUUACGUUUUUCUUCUUCAGUUAAAUAUCUGAUUAUGAUUUUGGAAAUACAGUUACAGCGUAAGAGUUAACAUUAAAAAUACUGAAUGGAUAAAUAUGUGUACAAAUCUUUUAUCAUGCAGAAUAUUAUGAUGACUUUCAAGGGAAUUGAAAGGCAUUGUACGUCACUGUAUUUCAUCCUGUAUGAGGCAUUCUGUCCUAGCGUGAAAGCAUUAAAGACAUGACAACUUGUAUGUUCAAGUUACGUGAGGAUAAUGAGCUCCAGCACAGUGAAGGUGGGAAAGAAAUUGAUUUCAGUCUAAUUAUGUGGCUGUAAUAUACAGUAUGUAUAUUAUGUGAUACAUUAUACAGUUGUUUAUAAUGUCUGGUAAUAGAACACGAUAUUAUUAAGUAACUGUAUUCACCAUUCCAUGCAGUCUGUGAAUGCUCUUCAGAGCAGUUGUUUAAAUUACAAAUAAUACCCUGACUUUUUCACAGUUUCAGUCAGACACUAGCAGUGCCUUUUCUAAACCUGCCUAGAUUUUACCCACUAUAGUUGAAAUUUAUUUUUUGUAUGAUAAUAUAAUACAAAAUAAAUCCUGGACUGACAUCUUUAUGUUUGUUUAACUGUCACCUCAAGAAGUUGACAAAAAACUUGUGAUCCUUGCUAUGAAAGACCAUUUAUAGUUUUCAGUAUAAGUAUACAUAAAUUGAAGUUUAUUGAAGUUUUACUCCAGCCAGAUAGGAGAAUCUGGUAAGAUUCCACCCGCAUUUUAUCAAUUCUGAAAUGUAACUUCUAUGCAGAAAAUUGUCAAUAAGGAAAACAACUGUAUAAAAUAAACCAAGCUUUAAUUACCAGGUUCUGCUUUUGGAAAAAUGUAAACAUUUGUAAUUAUGGGUGAUAAUAAUCCAAUAACGUGUUUUAUGAUGGUUUAGUGCCCAUACAGUACAACUUUAAAAUCUGUAUAUGCUGGCUGGCAAGUAUGCUGGCAUGUGGUCCGUAUUUUUGUAAACACUGGACACACAUAUUAUUAUAGUUGCCCUCUUAAUAUAUUUCAGCAUUUAUAUUCUUUGUGCUGCAGAGUUAAAACUUUCAUGUUUUUCUUAAAAGAUCAACAUUUUUUACAUCGAAAUGUGAUGGAUGCUUUGUAAAAUGUGUGACUUAAUAUUUUCUUUUUUUGCAGUUUGUCAGUUUACAAGUUGAUUUUUAAACAAGUUGGACACUAUACAUACAUCUUAUACAACCUAGAGGAAACACGUGCACCAUUCAGAUGUAUUUUUCCUUAAUAUCCAAGAUGUACAAAGGUCUAAAUUUUUGUUGUGAACAAAAAGGUUACUUACCUUCCAAAUCCCAAUGCAUUUUUAUAAAGUAAACUAAAGCAGAGUAUUUUUAGCUACUCUCUAGUUAGUAUUGAUAUAGAGAUCAGAUUACACUUUACCAUAAUUUAAUGUAAUUAUUGCAACUUUUGUUUGAAGUUCAUUUUAGACCUUUUGCUGACCAAACUGGAUAAUGUUAAUCUGUACAACAAUAAAGCAUACAUGAAGGGUAAAAUCUGCCCGGCCAAGGAACAAGCCCUCUUUAAACAAGUAUUUGUUAGUUUUAAUGCCCUGUAUGCUCAGUUUAGUUCAAUGGAAUGAUCACUUUUGAAAUAUUUUGAAUAAUUUUACAGAAAGUAUACUUUUGAUGCGUAUUUUUCCUUGAUAAACAUGCACUUUCUAAUGCAUUAUUCGGGAGCUGAAAAGAAGUGAGUGGUCCACUACAAGCUGGUAAACUAUAAAACUGUAUACUACUAGAGAAGUAGGACAAAAAAAAGGAGAAUGUCAAAAAUAUUUUUUUCAACUUUGAAAUCAUCUUUCUAAAAAAAUCAAAUGGUUUGCUAGUAAUUUAUAUGCUAAAAUUGCAAAAACAAUAGGAAAAUUUGUAUACAUACAAACAUGUUAGUGCUUAGUAGUAAUAAAUAAAUCAAAUCUUGUUACUUACAUAAAAUUAUGGUAAACAUUACAAAUAAUGUACCGUGUUCUUAAAAUUGUGUUGAACUUAAUGACCAAAGUUAGUACUGUUCACAUUCAUGCUCCUGUAUAGCUGCUUUAUUUUCUAGAGAUGCCUAAAUACUUUGUCUGUAUGCCAACAAAGCAGAGGUUUAUUUUUGUACUUCAUUGUCUCAUCCAGAUAUGUAGAUCUGCUAACUGCAUUGAAUUGAAUUUUUUGAUUAAGGUGAGUGAUUGUUCAAGAUAAGAUCUGUACUUUUGCUGGAAUAUAUUAAGUCUUGAAGUGAUGUUAAAAAGUGACCCAUAUUAGUCAAAGAUUUUGUUUUAUUUUUUUAUUCCAUUUAUUUAAUCUUAUAAUUAAUAUAUUAAAUGUUUCAAGCAUGUCAUGAAAUAAUUUAUACACUAUUAAUGUUUUUGUUUAUAUUGAUACAUUAUUUUAAAUAAUAAGUGGAUAAUAUAUUUUAGCAUGCAGGUAUAUGGUACUGCUUAAUAUAUUAAUACAGAUUAUGUUCUUACUGGAUUUAGUUAGUUUACAUUUUUCAGUUUUGGUUAUGCACUUGUGAGCACUACCGCUGCUCUACAGCCUGGUUUGUUUCCCCAUUUGUUUCAGGGAGCGGGUGGGCUUCAUGAUUUCACUUAAAAUGCUGCUAUGUAGAUACAUGUUUGAGGCAGAAAAGGCGGAUUUUUUUUCAUUAACUUUUCAGCCAAAGUAGCAAUAAACAUUUAUACUGUGAAAUUGA